UCAAGCGACUAAGUGCAUAUGGUGGAUGCCUUGGCGAUCACAGGCGAUGAAGGACGUAGUAGCCUGCGAAAAGCUACGGGGAGCUGGCAAACAAGCUUUGAUCCGUAGAUGUCCGAAUGGGGAAACCCACUGCAGCAAUGCAGUAUCCCUAGCUGAAUACAUAGGCUAGUGGAAGCGAACCGGGUGAACUGAAACAUCUCAGUAGCUCGAGGAAAAGAAAUCAACCGAGAUUCCGAAAGUAGUGGCGAGCGAAAUCGGAAGAGCCUUUACGUUUUAGCAUGCAAGAUAAUCGAAGGGGAUGGAAAGCCCCGCCGUAGCAGGUGAUAGCCCUGUAGAUGAAAUUUUGUGUGUGGAACUAAGCGUAAGACAAGUAGGGCGGGACACGUGAAAUCCUGUUUGAAGAUGGGGGGACCAUCCUCCAAGGCUAAAUACUCGUGAUCGACCGAUAGUGAACCAGUACCGUGAGGGAAAGGCGAAAAGAACCCCGGAAGGGGAGUGAAAUAGAUCCUGAAACCGUAUGCAUACAAACAGUAGGAGCCUCCUUGUGGGGUGACUGCGUACCUUUUGUAUAAUGGGUCAGCGACUUACAUUCAGUGGCAAGGUUAACCGAAUAGGGAAGCCGUAGCGAAAGCGAGUCCGAAUAGGGCGAUUCAGUCGCUGGGUGUAGACCCGAAACCAGAUGAUCUAUCCAUGGCCAGGUUGAAGGCACGGUAACACGUGCUGGAGGACCGAACCCACUAAUGUUGAAAAAUUAGGGGAUGAGCUGUGGAUAGGGGUGAAAGGCUAAACAAAUCUGGAAAUAGCUGGUUCUCUCCGAAAACUAUUUAGGUAGUGCCUCAAGUAUUACUGCGGGGGGUAGAGCACUGUUAUAGCUAGGGGGUCAUGGCGACUUACCAAACUAUGGCAAACUCCGAAUACCCGCAAGUACAGCUUGGGAGACAGAGCACCGGGUGCUAACGUCCGGACUCAAGAGGGAAACAACCCAGACCGCCAGCUAAGGUCCCGAAUUAUCGCUAAGUGGGAAACGAAGUGGGAAGGCAUAGACAGUCAGGAGGUUGGCUUAGAAGCAGCCAUCCUUUAAAGAAAGCGUAAUAGCUCACUGAUCGAGUCGUCCUGCGCGGAAGAUGUAACGGGGCUAAGCGAUAAACCGAAGCUGCGGGUGUGCACUUUUAGUGCACGCGGUAGGAGAGCGUUCUGUAAGCCUGCGAAGGUGGCUUGUAAAGGCUGCUGGAGGUAUCAGAAGUGCGAAUGCUGACAUGAGUAGCGAUAAAGGGGGUGAAAAGCCCCCUCGCCGUAAGUCCAAGGUUUCCUGCGCAACGUUCAUCGGCGCAGGGUGAGUCGGCCCCUAAGGCGAGGCAGAGAUGCGUAGCUGAUGGGAAACUGGUUAAUAUUCCAGUACCGUCGUACAGUGCGAUGGGGGGACGGAUCGCGGAAGAUCAUCAGGGUGUUGGAUGUCCCUGUUGCUGCAUCGAAGAUGGCGCUUAGGCAAAUCCGGGCGCGUAAAUCAAGGGUGUGGCACGAGCGAGCAUUGCUUGCGAAGUGAUUGGAAGUGGUUCCAAGAAAAGCCUCUAAGCUUCAGCUGUACGAGACCGUACCGCAAACCGACACAGGUGGACGGGAUGAAUAUUCCAAGGCGCUUGAGAGAACUCAGGAGAAGGAACUCGGCAAAUUGAUACCGUAACUUCGGGAGAAGGUAUACCCCGGUAGUGUGAAGCGCCUGCGCGCUUAGCAUGAUGGGGUCGCAGAGAAUCGGUGGCUGCGACUGUUUAUUAAAAACACAGCACUCUGCAAAGACGAAAGUCGACGUAUAGGGUGUGACGCCUGCCCGGUGCCGGAAGGUUAAGUGAUGGGGUGCAAGCUCUUGAUCGAAGCCCCGGUAAACGGCGGCCGUAACUAUAACGGUCCUAAGGUAGCGAAAUUCCUUGUCGGGUAAGUUCCGACCUGCACGAAUGGCGUAACGAUGGCCACACUGUCUCCUCCUGAGACUCAGCGAAGUUGA
rnacentral:rRNA from 1 species